rnacentral:rRNA from 1 species
GACGAACGCGGCGGCGUGCCUAAUACAUGCAAGUAGAACGCUGAAGGAGGAGCUUGCUCUUCUGGAUGAGUUGCGAACGGGUGAGUAACGCGUAGGUAACCUGCCUGGUAGCGGGGGAUAACUAUUGGAAACGAUAGCUAAUACCGCAUAAGAGUAGAUGUUGCAUGACAUUUACUUAAAAGAUGCAAUUGCAUCACUACCAGAUGGACCUGCGUUGUAUUAGCUAGUUGGUGGGGUAACGGCUCACCAAGGCGACGAUACAUAGCCGACCUGAGAGGGUGAUCGGCCACACUGGGACUGAGACACGGCCCAGACUCCUACGGGAGGCAGCAGUAGGGAAUCUUCGGCAAUAGGGGGAACCCUGACCGAGCAACGCCGCGUGAGUGAAGAAGGUUUUCGGAU